rnacentral:rRNA from 1 species
AUGAAGCACCCCCCUGCUGGUUUAUUCAAAGGAGGCCACGUGGACAUCCGUUUUCCAAUUGGUUUUGGUCCUUGUAAUGAGAAGCAGUGGCGCGUCUCCCAUAACACUGAUGAAGAACUGAUAAAAGAAGAAGAGGAAAGGAUAAGAGACAGCUUUGAUUACCUUGACGAUGCUGUAUUUUGGGAGAAUAUCCACCACAAACGUCUUAAUUUUCGCAUAUGGAAAUCAGAGACGAAUAUGCAGGUUCGAGUCCCAAUCUCCUUCAAUUUGUUAUGUAGUUGUGUCUGUCAAGUUUUUGUCCGUUUCCCAUGUGAAUUUUUAGAUGUUUUAGAAUAA